CCUACGGGUGGCAGCAGUGAGGAAUAGUGGUCAAGGGACGAGAGUCGGAACCAGCCAAGUAGCGUGAAGGAUGACUGCCCUAUGGGUGGUAAACUUCUUUUAUAUGGGAAUAAAAUGCUCCACGUGUGGGAUUUUGUAUGUACCAUAUGAAUAAGGAUCGGCUAACUCCGUGCCAGCAGCCGCGGUAAUACGGAGGAUCCGAGCGUUAUCCGGAUUUAUUGGGUUUAAAGGGAGCGUAGGUGGUUUGUUAAGUCAGUUGUGAAAGUUUGCGGCUCAACCGUAAAAUUGCAGUUGAAACUGGCAGUCUUGAGUACAGUAGAGGUGGGCGGAAUUCGUGGUGUAGCGGUGAAAUGCUUAGAUAUCACGAAGAACUCCGAUUGCGAAGGCAGCUCACUGGACUGCAACUGACACUGAGGCUCGAAAGUGUGGGUAUCAAACAGGAUUAGAUACCCUUGUAGUC
rnacentral:rRNA from 1 species